rnacentral:tRNA from 1 species
GCACAGGUGACCGAGUGGUUAAGGUGUGAGAUUCGAAAUCUUUUGGAUUAAUUCCGCACAGGUUCGACUCCUGUCCUGUGCG